ensembl:scaRNA
UGGACAUUUAUUUGCAUUCAGUUUCUUCUCAAGAUGAAGAUAACUCUUUGUAAAUGUCCUAGAGAAAUAUAGUAGCUUUCUGUUCACCCUUCGCAGGUAAAAGAGGUGGAUCGUUCCACUACUGACAUUU